GCAUUUUUUACCAUCCCAAAACAAUAUUACGCUAUAUUAAAUUGACACUGGUUGAGCUCUAGGACCAAGCGGAAAACAACUGUUUGUGUUGAAGCCUGUUUCCCAUUAGAACAUGCUGUAAAGAUACGCCCCCCCAUCAUGCCGAUGCAUGAGGCUGGUGUCAGUCACUGUGGGACGCCUGUUGAGUCUGAGAACACGGCAGCUUGCUGAUGGAUGCUGAGACUGCAGCUGCCGAGUGUUGUAUUACUGUGGCAUGUCCUUAUCUUCACUCUGGUUUAGUUGUGAGGUGGUACAGCACUUCCAUGGACUCCUGGCUGUACGAGGUAAAAACCCAUCUAAGGAUCUUGCUGGAGUCUUGAGUUUCUUAUUCAGGUAGUGAGGCUGCUCUCAUUUGUACUGGUAACCUCUACCUCCAUCACAUCCUCCUUCAUCCAAAACAAGGGAUCAACUUACUUCCUGUUACCCUGGCCCUUACUUCUCUUUCACGCGGAGUCAUGCAGCAUCCACGGGCUGGCUCACUGUUCAUGCCAGAGUGACCGACGCAUCCCAUAGCUGGUUGAAGUGUGACCUGCAGCAGGGUUGGUGUGGCUGCGUAUGACUCUCAUGCUACUGAAGCUCCUCUUUGUCAAAUGAAUACAACAUCUGAUUACCAAUGUGUGGUUUCUCUGGAAUUGAGUCAUCCAGCUGCUUGGUUGAGAUGUUUUGGUGAGUUCUGUAUGGAUGCACAUACUUAACCCUUCUGCUCACCCUACAAAUUAAUCUUCCUCCUACUUCCAUUUAAUGUCACAGGUGUGAAGAAGAAGAAGAAGAAGAAGAAGAAGAAGAAGAAGAAGAAGAAGAAGAAGAAGGCACAAACACACAUGACAUGCAAACAAUGGACAGACAAGGAACACAGAACUGGGAGGGUUUAAAUACACGAGUAGCUGGGAUCUACAGUGAUUGGGAGAUGAGAGGCAGGUGGGAGCAAUCAGGAGAGACACAGGACUGAACAGAGUGGGGAGACAGGACAGGUUGUGACAUUUAAAAGCCCCACUUAAACGGUAGAAAACAGGUUUUCCAAUGAAAGAAGUCACAACCAAAAAUAAACACAAGUUUACUCUGCUGUUCGGUUUUUGCAUCUGUGACAUGCUACAUGGUAGCCCUGCUGGGUUCAGAAACAGGCAACAGGACUUUAGAUUUUCUUCUCAUCCAAGAAGUUCUCUCAGUUAUAAACAAGCAACAUUACGUUUCCCUUGUACCACCAGCCCAGAACACGGCUUCAUCAGGCAGUCUGUAGAGGAUAAAUCAGUCCGUCUUCCCGUGUGCAGCAGAAACUUGGCAUGACAGUUAGCUGUGCGCAUGAGCAGUUUACCUCCGGCUGAGCUCAGCAAAAGGAUUGAAUCAGGAGCCGUGAGAGGCUGAGUGGGACUAACUGGAAGAGACAGGAGUUGAUCGGUAUCUACGAGCCCAGCUGACUAGUCGUACGGGUCCACUCGUCCACAGGCUGGACAUUUCUCCUCUCCACCAUGAGACGUCCAAAAAACACCUGAACAUGAUUGCCUCUAACGACCACAGACUCUGAACUUCUUCACUUUCUACCGAAACUCAAAGUUUUCACUUCAAAGCUUUAAAGUCUAACGUUGGAGCUAUGAACCUUUUAUUUAUGCAUCUGUUACUUUGAUUUUGCUGGUUUAAUCUAACAAAGCCUAAUCAGACAGUGAAGACAGAUUAUCAACCAAACAUCUUGUUUUUGGGUUUUAUUAGCAGCACCCUUCUGAUACUCCAUUUUUCAAAACCUUUUGAAUGAUGAACAAACAACCCAUUAAGACAUUUAGGUGCUUACACUAAAAGACUUAAAAUUCGCUGCAGAAUGCUCCGGGAGUUGUAUUUUUCCACUUAUGUUGUCAUUUCAGUUCCCAGUCUUAGAAAUGUUGGGUGAAGAACUCGAAAAUCUGGGAGGGGUUUGGAGUAGAGCCACACCCACACCCAGAGCAGGUGAGGGUGGUUCCCUGUUGUGACAUCACAAACAAGGCACUUUGAAAAGGCGUGUUUAAUGCACAUAAUUCCUAAAAAACCAAACACUGACAUAAAGUGACUCGACAAUGUGUUUUUGUAGAGGAUGCAACAUGUUGGUUGUUUGGUUUGUGAAAAGUACAAGUGGUUUAAUGAUAAUGAAAAUAAGUCGUUAAUGAUUACAAAUCAAAUUGUGUUGUGUUUGAUAACUGAUAUUCAAUUCAAUUCAAAUUCAAAAAUACUUUAUUAACCCCAGAGGGAAAUUGAUUAUUUACAUAUAGUCAACAGAGCUACUCCAACAUGCAGCCGCCCAGAGCAGCGCAGUUCCGGAACAAGAAUCUGUAAAGUAAAAAAGUCAAAUAAAUAACAAGAAUUUCAAACCUUAUGAUAACUUCCUGAUGUGUUCCUCGGGUGAUCACAACAAUAAAAACGUGCAUGGAUUGUGUCCUAAAGCGGUCGUGGAUGUUUUCCUUUCUAAAUAUUUAUUUACCCACAUCACCCCGCUUCUCUUCCAGCUUCACUGGCUGCCAGUCAACUUCAGGGUUCAUUUCAAGAUCCUGGUUCUGGUCUAUAGGGCCUUACAUGGACAAGCACCAUCUUACAUUGGUGAUCUUCUUAGUCCCUACACCCCCAGCAGGUCCCUGAGAUCCAGUGAUCAAAGCCUACUGGUUGUGCAGCACCAGGCUAAAGGUCAAAGGUAACAGAUCAUUUGCUGCUGUGGCCCCCAGACUCUGGAACUCUCUCCCCCUGAGCCUGAGAUCAGUGGACUCAGUGGUCUCCUUUAAAAAGCAGCUGAAGACUCACUUGUUCAAGCUGGCUUUUGUAUGACCUUCUUCACCUCUCUCUCUUUAUUCUGCUCUCCCCACCUAUAGAGCUCCGGGAGUUGACGUCACUUCUCCCGGCAUGCAACAGUUCAAAUCGAAAUGGCGCCAUCUUGGCAGGCAGAAGCCGGCAGCUGGACUAUUUGUUAUUGUCAGAAAACUCAAUCAGACAGGAAAUAUGGUAGAUUCCUGUUGUGCCCCAGGAUGCAGAACAGACACGGACGACUUAAGGAAUGAGCCAUCUACAGGAUUCCCAAGAUCCGGAGCGCCGCAAACGUUGGAUGAUUGUAAUAAAACACGCUAGUGACCAGGCGAAAAUGAAACUGUGGGAUCCCGAGAGUAAAGGUUUUCGCUUAUGCAGCGACCGCUUCAUAUCAGGUACUUAAACCAACGUUUCCUCAACUGUGUAUGGUAUUUAUUUUAAAUGCUUUUAUUGUGAUUCUUAGUGGGCUUCCUAAACUUAUUUUGGCGUGGCUUUUUCUGUCUUAUUACUCAUAGCAACAAGUAAACGUCACGUAAAACGUUGCCUCGUGAGUUCUGCGUGCUGCCGUUUCCGUGUUUUAUGAUCACAGCAAUUAACCGGCUAAGCUGUAUUUAAUUUUUAAGCAAUGGUUGAUCAAUUGUCAGAUCACACAUAAAAAGCACUUUGGAUUGCUAUUAUCUGUCUCACCGAGACUACUUACAUGUAAAUCUGUUAUUUGUCCGUCCAUCCAUCCAUUUUCAUCCGCGUAUCCGGAGUCGGGUUGCGGGGGCAGUAGCGUGACUUUCCUCUCCCCAGCCGCCGGAGCCAGCUCCUCCGGGUAAAUCCCAAGGGGUUCCCCGGUCAGGUCCGGUGUUGUGCCGGUAAGAAGUCCGCUCCGACAGCUUCUGGCGUUUUUAAAAAGUAUCCCAGGGGCACGGUAAGGGUUGGAGAUGUUUAGUCUAUUUAAUUUCUGAGUAUAUAAAACGAUUUCUUCUGUUUUAAAGUGUGAAGUAAACUCCGACGAAGUAAAAUCCAAGCGGAUCCCGUUCAUGUUCAUGGUUACAUCCGUGUUUGUUUACCUUUUUUGCAUGCCAAAAUGGCGUCCACCAACUGAGAGUCACAUGGGGUCCGGAGCUCUAUUCCACCUUCCUCAGGAUCCACUGAUUUCCCUCUUUCCUGUUCACGCCUCAAGAUUUUUAUCUUGAGAGGCGCUAUAGAAAUGAUUCUUUCUUCUUCUUAGAUUUUCACGUCUCAAAUGUUUGCUCCUUGUUUAAUUCACACGUGUCCACUACCUGCACACUGACCCCGACUGGCUGCGUAUUGGUGCCGAAUGCUAAGGAGCCGCUGCCCUGUGUGAGAAACAGGAAGUUGAAUGAGACCAUUAACUGCAAGCAACAAUGGUGGCCAUAUGGAGAGGGCAUGGCCAUGCAUAAAGAACUGAGGAGACAAUGGCUCAAACGUCUCCCACCAUCAGAUCCUGCAGUGGUAAUGAGCAACAUGACAGAUUAGGCAACAAAUUACACAUCAACAAAAUGAGACUGUGUGAUAGAAAAUGAGAGGAAGGAAAGAGGGUGCUCUAGCCUGAAGGAGAGAAGAGGGUUAAUCAUCCAGGUUGAAUGGCUGGCAGCUUCUCUCACUGAGAAACAGCAGGCUGUGAACCGAAACAAACACAAGGAAGCAGGAAACAUACAGCUGAGAGGGGAAGGUGAUGUAAACAGCCCCGUUUCUUACACCAGCUGGAACCCAAACCCUCGGGUGAUCCUGAUUUUCUCUGCCAGAUCUUGGAGUCAGCAUGGAAACAAAUCAUUCCCUGGCUAACAGGUAGAGGCUCAAUCAGAUGCACUGCCUCCAACCGGCUAGAAUUCAAUUAUGUAAAGAACGAGUUACGGUUGAAGGAUGGAAAUAAACAAGGUGCUGUGAUGUUUUAUUCAUCCCAAAAUGCCUCCUGCAUUAAACAGCUGCAGCAGUGAGCUGUCUGAAGCCCUGUUUGCCUUCAGGGUGUCAGAGAAGAUGGGUAGAAAUGUUCACAUUUGCAUUACUUCACAUUCCGAAGCUAAAAUAGUCUUUAGUGACUUAAAACACAAUGAUGUUGUUAAAAAAGAUGCCUUGAAAGAUUCAGACAGAAUUCAAAGGCUGGUCUGAGUAAACUUCUCCAGGUACAAUUAGUGGGCCUGUGGUCAUCAGCCGGUGGUUCCAGCACACAAUUAUUUCUAUGUGAUUAGAUUUGUGCCAAUAGGAUCAAGAAAAACACUUUGGAGAUCAAACAAAUAUUAAGACACUGAGAGAAAAAAUAAAUCAUUUUAAAAGUAAAACUUACUUUCUGAAUCAACUUCUUAAACUGAGUAAUAAAGUAUCUUUCCUUUUUCUGUUUGACUCUAUGUGCUUUUGUUAUCAAUUUCCUUUGUUUUAUUCUCGCUGCUCACAGCUUUGAUCUCACUACCAGAUUUGCACUUACACUUUCUGGCUUUCUCCUUUGCAAUCCCUGACUUUUGGUUGCAAUUCUGACACAACCCUCUCGAGUGGGUGGGACUUCUGAGAAGUCCUCUCCCAUAGGACAGUGGUUUCUCUUGAGUGACAGUUCAGUGACCCGGAAGUGAUGUAGCCUCCAAGACUUUUUUUUCCACCUCGGUCAACAACAUGAAUUUUGAGCCCCAAACACGUUAUGUCGGCUGUCUGUGGUGUAGGAUUCGGUUUAAAGUUCUUUUACUGUUUUUAAAGCUUUAAACGGUUUGGCUCCGGCUUAUAUGGCAGACACACUGAAUUCGUACGUUCCCUCUCAGGCACUCCGUUAUGGACCUGUCCUUGCUCGUGGUGCCCUGGUCACGGCUGAAGAUGCGGGGUGACAGAACCUUUUCAGUUGCAACUCCAAAACUAUUGAAUGAACUUCCAUUACACAUUCGGCAUUCCUCUUCUGUAGAAGUUUCUAGAUCAAAGCUGAAGACCCAUUUUUAUGAACUGGCUUUUAAAUCUGUAGCCUCUUUUAUAAGACAGACCAUCGCGUCAUUACAGAGUGAUAAAUCCGAAUUUGUGGGUCUCGGAAAUGCGGUAAGGAGCAAAGGGGAAAGGUGAUAAAACUCAAUUCUGAUGCACUUAGCCUCGUAUUGAUAUUGCCGCAUGAGCCCCUCGCCUCUGACGGCUAAACGCGUGUCAGCCCCACUAAUCCCUUUGGAGUGACUGUGGGAGGUCCCCCUGCAAAAGAGGGUGGUCGCGUUAAGCCGGGCGUACACUGUGCGACUUUUUCACUCGUAGCACUCAAGCUUCAGCUCAAACUGUACGACUUCCUCGCAGAGCAGAUCUCACGAGCCAGGCGCUCACACUGCACGUCUGGUAGCAACACGUCGGCCCUAAAAAUAUGCUAAAAAUAGCCGUUUUUACACAACACGUCAGACUUUUUUGUCUUGUCUUGCCUGUUGUCCUUCGGGAGUGCUGCAGGAGGACACACAGGGAUUUAUGGGGGUUGGAUGAGGAAAACGAAAUAAAGAAAGUAAAUCUGUGUUUUGUGAUCAGUUUCAUUUGACAUGAACACGACAAACACGCUUUCUUGACAAUCUCUGUGAGUAAAAAAAACGUGUAGAAACAAAAACGAACAACGUGUGUUAUUAGGGAAAUAGCGGGGAGCGGCGUUGAUGCAGGAUUGCGCAUGCGCCGUGAGCGGUUCUGGUACUUUUUGGGUCGCAGCUGCUUGCAGCGCCGCUUCAACAGUGCGAUACCCUCACGAGGGACGAGCGAAAUAUUAAACACGCCAGAAGUCCGUGCGACCUCACGACUGCUGAUCGGCAGCUGGUCACGUGGUGUUAAUCGCCUCUCGUAACCCCCGUACACUACACGACCGCUCGGCGCAAAACUCGCCCCGAUGUCGUGGAUUCUCGCACGACUGGAAAAUCGGCUCAAAAAAGUGAAAAAGUUCCACAGUGUACGCCCAGCCUUAGUGACAUCUACUGCGCCGAGUGCCGGCCGGAAGGGAUAUAAACACAGACAAACAUGGCCUCUCACUAGUAUCUUUCAACCACCUACAACAUGGCAAACUGGACAGACACGGAGACCAUGGAGCCUUUGGCCGUGCGAGCGGACGAACAGAUUAGUCGCCUUUUUACGGGGACGGUGAGAGACAGCCAGCUGUUCGACAGAGUGGUGGAAACACUGGCUGAGCGGGUCGUCAAGCGGGACAAAAAGCAGGUCACAUCAAAGCUAAAGGUCAACCAAAAUCCUCCCCAGGGAGCCGCGGCAAAUCCCGUUUAGCAAACGCUAUGGUCCUGUAAAAACAGCUUGUGUGAGUGAUUGACUUAGAUGCUUUUUUAGAUAAAUUUUAAUGUUUUUAUUUGAUUGUAUUUAUUUAUUUAAUUUUUAAUUUUUUCAUUUUUAGUGGAUUUUAUGUGUUAUGUUUUUAUCUGUGUCUGUGAAGCACUUUGGUAGCAUGUAAGUGUCUGUAAGGGGCUUAAUAAAUAAAGUUUGAGUCAAGUCAUUAAAUAAAUGAAAAGAAGUAGAAAAUAAUUAGUCC